rnacentral:rRNA from 1 species
UCCCAGACUCCUACGGGAGGCAGCAGUGGGGAAUAUUGCACAAUGGGGGAAACCCUGAUGCAGCAACGCCGCGUGAGUGAGGAAGUAUUUCGGUAUGUAAAGCCCUAUCAGCAGGGAAGAAAAUGACGGUACCUGACUAAGAAGCCCCGGCUAACUACGUGCCAGCAGCCGCGGUAAUACGUAGGGGGCAAGCGUUAUCCGGAUUUACUGGGUGUAAAGGGAGCGUAGACGGCGGCGCAAGUCCGGAGUGAAAGCCCGCGGCCCAACCGUGGGACUGCUCUGGAAACUGUGCGGCUUGAGUGCGGGAGGGGCAGGCGGAAUUCCUAGUGUAGCGGUGAAAUGCGUAGAUAUGAGGAGGAACACCAGUGGCGAAGGCGGUCUGCUGGACAGCAACUGACGCUGAGGCGCGAAAGCGUGGGGAGCAAACAGGAUUAGAUACCCGGGUA